CGGCGUCGAAUAUCGAAGCACUACGACCUUCAUUGCUUUCAGUGGGAAACUUUUGGCGUCAGAAUUCGACACGACGAGGACAUGAGAUGUUUAUCGCUAUGAAAUCACGUUCAAGAAGUCUCAUUCAGCACACAUCGCGAUACUUGCUAUCAGUUCCACAGUUUGGCUGAAAAGACGUAAAGGAAGCCCAGUGGUGUUUCUGGAGAGCUAUUCCUUCAGAAAUGGAGAAGACAGAAAGCUGCGGAGGCAGAUAUUUGCAGCAGUCUGAAAUAUCAAGCUCAACAGCUCACUCAAGAGCCAACCCUCACAAACCUUCCUAAAAACUAAAAGAUUACAGAAC